GGUUACAUUACACUAAAUCAUUGUGUAUCCCUCCGUGGUCCAUUCGAAAGUAGUGCCUAUUUCUAAAGAGUUCCUUUUCUCUUCUUGAAUAUAAGCCAUUUAACAAUGUGAGACAUGUCUUUUGUGGUUAUUUGUAAUAUCCUGUAUGUGUCUGGAGUACUUUGAUGCCUUGGAUUGGAAGCUAACUUAAAAGAUGAACUUUUGAGGGUGUGUUUUCUAUUGUGUGGGGCUUUUGUCGAAAUUAGGAUUCCGAAACGCGUUUUUCUACGGUGGGUUCAUUCGACAGCGAUUUACUUUCUUAGAAGUUGCGAGACGGUAUGUUUUUGAUUGCAAUUAUUGGAAGAUGACAGAUCCAUCUUUAAAAUGAUACCAGGUUCGGAAAAAUUGAUACGUCGGAAAGGCAAGAAAAAUGCUGUGAAAGUUGUCAGUUUUAUAAUGGGACCCUAUGGGAAUCGGAAUUAGUGUAAUAUAACCUUUAAAAAGCGCAUUUACUGCAAUGUCAAGGUCACGUGGAUUCGUCUGCAAGCGAGACAAGUAGAAAAUGAAUUUUAAUGAAUGUUUUGAUGAUUUGGGUGCUAAAAUAGAUGAGAGAUGUCAAUAUUUUGGUCCAAAUGGAUGUUUAAGGUGGUUUUGGACUGUUCCGGAUGGGUGGGGGACCUGGUAUGGACAAGUAAGGGUAACAUUUCCAACAAAUCUUAAAUGUAAAUAUUAUUAUGUCCCUAGAUUGAAGUUUCAGGUGGAGAGCAAGAUGAAAAAUAUGCCAAAUUACAUGCAUGCAGCCCAUUUAUGCCAUUUUUCUCUUUGUUUGUAGGCCUGACCGUUUGUCCUUGAGCCGUCGAUGGUCAACAAUCCGCUAGCUGUCUUGCUCUGACUGGUGCACUGGACAUGAUUUCAAUAGUUAGCCAGACCAUGAUUGAGCUUAAGGAUUGUGCUGCGGAUGCAGCCUGUGCAGUUCCGGGAGAAAGUCACUGUCUUGGGCAAUGCGGUCUGGUAUCAGGUCUGGAUGAUCCUGGCCUGACUGCGGGUUUGUGUACACCUCAAUCCGACUCUGUGUCCUGAACAGAGGCCGCAGUGGUGCAGCGCUUGUGGACGUUCCAUCAACAUCCUGAAAGGUCAACACUACACCCAGCUGGGAAAAUUGAUCCUGAUAGUCAUCCCCAGGUAGUGGAAUGAAUGUACACUGAACUACAGAGGAAUCACACCCAAAUGACUUUCCUGCCACGACAUUAGUGUGGCCACUCGCGUAGGAAUUCCUUAGCAAACGUGCUCUUUUGCAUGGUGACUGUGGGCAUUUUUGCAAAACUUACGCUUUCAACACUGGAUUUUAAAGAGAAUACUUAAUAAAAUGUCGCUAACAGGACUUAUUUAUAUGAGAGAGACUAUCUGGAUGCGCAUUAAGUGUCACUUUGUGUCGUAAGCUGUUGAAGGAGCGCUUUGCGCCUUUUUAAGUGUUAAUUUUGGGUAGCCGGCUUGUAUCGGCUUGAAAGCUGCAAAUUAUGCCUCUCAUCAUAAUAGCAUUAAUUUUUGUAAUUGCAAUGUGUAUGUUUAGAUUGUAAGUGAAGCUUUUAAUAAUAAUUUUCUUAAAAAACAUGAUUUUAUAUGCUGUCA